AUUGAAGGCGGGGGGCGGGAGAAGGGGCGAGGAGGACCGGACGCGGUGCGCGUCGUGUAGCAGCUCCCCGACAUGCUCCGUUGGGUCCACUCCUGUAGUUUCUCCCAGAGGGGGCUUGGUCUCUCCGGCCUCAGCUUCUUCAAAGUGCCCAUCACACUCAGCAGCAGCGGCCGAGGCGGCGCCAAGCCGAGGUCGGUUCCGCUCUCCUACAAGCUUCUGGACGGGGAGGCGGCCCGCCCGGCCCUCGUCUUUCUGCACGGGCUCUUCGGCUGCAAAACCAACUUCAACUUUGUCGCCAAGGCCCUAGCCCAGCAGACAGGCCGGAAGGUGCUGACAGUGGAUGCUCGGAACCAUGGUGACAGUCCCCACAGCCCAGACAUGAGCUAUGAGGCCAUGAGCCAGGACCUACAGGACCUCCUGCCUAAGCUGGACUUGGUGCCCUGUGUCCUCAUUGGCCACAGCAUGGGAGGCAAGACAGCCAUGCUGCUGGCACUACAGAGGCCAGAACUGGUGGAGCAGCUGAUUGCCGUGGACAUCAGCCCAGUAGAGACCACAUCCAGCUCAGACUUCCCAAGUUACAUUGCAGCCAUGAGGGCCAUAGACAUCCCUGAUGAGGUGUCCCGUUCCUGUGCCAGAAAACUGGCUGAUAAGCAGCUCGGCCCUGUUAUCCAGGACAUGGCCGUGCGGCAGUUCCUGCUCACCAAUCUGGUGGAGGUAGAUGGGCAUUUCAUGUGGAGAGUAAACUUGGAUGCCUUGGCCCAGCAUGUGGAGAAGAUCUUGGCCUUCCCACCACGACAAGAAUCCUACCUUGGGCCUACCCUUUUCCUCCUGGGUGGAAACUCUCAAUAUGUGCCUCCCAGCCACCACCCUGAGAUUAGGCGGCUCUUCCCUCGGGCCCAGAUGCAGACCAUGCCCAACGCUGGCCACUGGAUCCACAGUGACUCUCCACAGGACUUCGUGACUGCCAUCCGAGACUUUCUGGCCUAAGAGUUGCUGGCAAGAUGGGACAUGAGAUCCCAGGUUUCAAGGCCCUGCAGACUACUCCACCUUUCUGCACAGAAGGACCUAGGCAAGCACUAAGAGGCUAACAACAAGGGUGCAGUGGUCAGACCUCAAGCUUUAAUGAAUAAAGACACUGCUUCCAAGGUUCUGGACUGAGCUCUCUCACCGCCAACGUCCCCACCGACCCAGGGGGAAUCGGACCCAGGGGGUCCUGGCAGUUCCAGGCUCCACAGGGGCUCCCAGAGCACCUCUGGACUCUCUCUGCAGCUGAUUCUCGACCCGCUGCCUCACCAGCUGCUGCAUGUCCUCCUGAGGGCAGGAGAGCAGGUUCAGGGCCCAUCCUGUACCCUUCUUCCCAUGCCUCCCAGACCUGGCCAGCAUUCCCACCCUACCUCCCAGGUCUCCACCUCCUGCCUCAGCCUCAGUUUCUCCUCCAGGACCUCCAGCAGCUGGGCUUCCACAGCUCGCAACUUGGCCUUGCAUGUGUCCAGCUCAGCCUCCACUGCCUGCUUCCUGCAGGUGGCAGAGAGAGCAGCCUGAGGCUCCAGCCCUGCAGGUCUGGUUCUGGGCCCUGGAGGUGGGCGUGUUUGGCGCCAGCUGCUGCCUUGUGACAAGGUAGGUGUUUUGUGGCUUUCCUUCCAGAAAUACCUGACUUGCCCCUCCCCUCCUCUAGCAGGACAGAGCCCUGAGGGUGAGCCACCCGCUGCCAUCUACACCAUCACAAGCAGGUGCCUCUCACUUGGCAAUGGCUUCAUCCCGCUCCUGGAGGGCUUGGUCCAGCGACAGCUCUGUCUGGGUGUCCCCCAGUGCUCCAGCUGCUGGGGAUUCUGGGCUCCUUGCAGGGUGACAGGUGGAAGCCGUGAUCUGGGGCUUGCCUGGAUGAGGUGCCCCACUCAGGGUUCUUCCACUGGCUUUAGUCUUGAUGCUGAUAUCAGGAGGGGAAGGAUCUGAGACUGUCUGGACCUGCCCCUCACUGCCCCAGUCUCGUGGAACUCUGAGGAGCACAGGAGGACUGUGCUGUGUUGAGAGGGUGGCAGGUGUGGCUUCUGUCUGGCCUAAGGAUAAACAGAGGGUGGCAGAGUGUUUGGACAUCCCCGGCCCCCACCCCCCACGACCCUGCUCCUGGCCAAAGAGGAAAAGGAGUUCUCACACGAUCACCCGCUCCAGAAAAAGACAAGGUGUCUCUCCCACCGGCUCAAGGGCUUCUGAAGGAUGCACAGUGCCUGUUACCAUUCAACCUGGACACAGGUGCUCAGCAGCUACAGCCUCGGUGAGGCAACACCGGCCUUGCCCAGCAGGUGGCAGCAGUUCCCAAUAAUGGAAUCCAGUGGGCAAGUGAUCCACCCCCACCCCCACCCAGCCCGUGGGGUGGAACCACACUCUGUACCCAGGGGCUUGGGAGCUCCCAAAUGCCCAGCCUUUCUCUCAGUCCUCCCUUAUAGGAACACUACUCAUUCAGGCAUGCAAGUGUGUACCACUCACUGCACAAACAUACUUUCUGUGCCAGCCUUGGGGAAUGAACAAGAACAUGCCCCAGUUCUUUCCCUUUAUAUGUCCCCAUCUAAUGAGGGGACAGACAUGUAACACAGGACUGUAAGUGCUAUUAUCAUGGGGAUAAGUACAGAUCUUUGUGGGACCAGACAGAAGGAACCCAACACUUAUUCUUGGGCAGUCAGGGACAGGUGGAUCUUGGAGGAGGUGAUGUCUAGAAGGGAAGGACUACAAGUCAUUGGCCAGGUGUAUUGUGGAGAGGAAGGAAACAGAGGAGAGGUCUUCAGGCCUGAGAACUAAGGCAUGUGCCAAGGUGUGGGCAUUAUGGCUGCUCACAGUGGGCAAGGAAGGUGGCUCCAAAGGGUGAGGCAGGGCCAAGAUCAAAAGAAAAUGAAAAACUAUUUUGGGCUAUUAGGAUUCCCUUCUCCAGGGCAAUAGGGAAACCUCUCCACCAUGAAAAAGUGGGUGGGGGGGUGGAUGCCAAUAUGGGGCUGCAGAUGCAUCAUUGUCUAGAGUGGGGACAGGCCUUUACACGGCAUUGGCCUGAACUGAAUAUCCAUCCAUUAUCCACACUAAAGAUGGGGUGGGAACCACAUAUGUUAUGGGGCUGCCUGGUUCUCAUUGGGAAUAAGCCCUAAGCUCUCACAUUCCCUAUCAUGGUUGUUCACAUUCUUGGCCGUGAACACCUUUCCCCCAUUCUCCACCUGGCUACUUCUUACUCAUCCUUUAAGCCCCAAUUCAAAGGCUCUGCCUCUCUGAACUGGCUUCUGAUCCCAGGGAGUCGGCUGCUCU